GAGUAUAUCAUCAUAUCAUCAAACUGUAUUCUGUAAUUUAACUGAUUUUUUUCUUCCAUCAUUAACUGAAAAUUUCUGAAAUGCCACUGUAGUUGUACCUGCAUGUUGUACUCCUGCAUCUUCAUCCAUUUGUACUCCUGCAUCAUCAUCCAUUUGUACUCCUGCAUCAUCACCAUCCAUUUCAUCUUCUGCAGGUGGAGUGCAGUUGAGGUCUGGGACAACCAUCUUCUGUUGCUUUCAGGUGAAUACAAGUGGACAGUUUGUUGGUGUUGCUGAAAUGACUGGUCCUGUUGAUUUUGAAAAAACUCUAGAGUACUGGCAACAAGACAAGUGGAAUGGUUAAUUCUCUGUCAAGUGGCACAUUGUCAAGGAUGUUCCCAACAACAUUCUCAAGCACAUCAUCCUAGAGAACAACGAGGGCAAACUGGUCACAAACAGCUGUGACACACAGGAUAUCAACCUUGAGCAAGGUAUUCAUAUGCUUAAGAUAUUCAAAGAGCAUGUCAGCAAGACCUCUAUCAGGUUCAAAGUUCCCAGAUAGGCCGUUUCAGCAUGCUUGUAGGAGAUGCUGGUUCUGUAGCAGAUGCCUUGUUUUUUAUGCCGUUUUGAUGCCAGAUAGGCCGACAUUACUCUUUUUUCCUCCAUUCGGUUGCACCUACCAUCUCAAUAUCAUCAUCCACUGCUUGCCUGGACCAACACCCAGCUACCAUCUUAUUUUGGGUUACUUUGCCUGCCUGGCUGCCAUGAUUGGUUGGAUGGUGAUGUUUGUAUCAGGGAGUUUGUUGACAAGAGCUCCACACUGACUACUAUCAGGUUCAAGGAGACUUGUUAUCACAGUCACUGCUCGGAUCCAGUUAGGUAAACAAAAUUUGCUGGGAACUCCAGUGCAUAACAAAAUUUGCUGGGAGUAUUCAGUUUACUGACAAAAUUUGCUACAGUUUAUGAUCUGCUACUCCUAUUAUCUGAAAUGCCACGGUUAUGAUUUGCUAGUCCUUUUGUUCAAAUUACUUACUCCAUCAGUACUCUAUCACUUAAAUCAAAUUAUUAGUUCAAACUUAGUGGUUUCUCUGAAUUAUUCUACCAAAUUCAGUUAUACUCUUGACUACACUUGAAUCAGUACAUCUCUUGAAUCACUUGAGUUUUGUUUAUGCUUGCAGUUUGUUUCCAGCGACAGCAGAGAGAUGUACUCCAGCAGAGGAUCAAAUGAUCAGAGAGAGGAGAUGAACCUGCCCAGCAGCAGCCGAGC